rfam:Postia placenta Mad-698-R POSPLscaffold_170_Cont6354, whole genome shotgun sequence.
GGACCCUUAGCUCAAUUGGUUAGAGCUUUGUACUUAUAUGGUUAACCUGGUUAUGCAAAGGUCCCGAGUUCGAUCCUCGGAGGGUCCA